rnacentral:rRNA from 1 species
UACGGAAGGCAGCAGUGGGGAAUAUUGCACAAUGGGCGCAAGCCUGAUGUAGCCAUGCCGCGUGUAUGAAGAAGGCCUUCGGGUUGUAAAGUACUUUCAUCGGGGAGGAAAAAACAAAACUAAUAAUUUUAUUUCUUGACGUUACCCGAAAAAGAAGCACCGGCUAACUCCGUGCCAGCAGCCGCGGUAAUACGGAGGGCGCUAGCGUUAAUCAGAAUUACUGGGCGUAAAGAGCACGUAGGUGGUUUUUUAAAGUUCAGAUGUGAAAAUCCCUGGGCUUUAACCUAGGAACUGCAUUUUGAAACUGAAAUACUAGAGUAUCGUAGAGGGAGGUAGAAUUCUAGGUGUAGCGGUGAAAUGCGUAGAUAUCUGGAGGAAUACCUGUGGCGAAAGCGGCCUCCUAAACGAAUACUGACACUGAGGGUGCGAAAAGCGUGGGGAGCAAAACAGGGAUUUAGAUACC